GAUGAACGCUGGCGGCGUGCCUAAUACAUGCAAGUCGAGCGAAUGGAUUAAGAGCUUGCUCUUAUGAAGUUAGCGGCGGACGGGUGAGUAACACGUGGGUAACCUGCCCAUAAGACUGGGAUAACUCCGGGAAACCGGGGCUAAUACCGGAUAACAUUUUGAACCGCAUGGUUCGAAAUUGAAAGGCGGCUUCGGCUGUCACUUAUGGAUGGACCCGCGUCGCAUUAGCUAGUUGGUGAGGUAACGGCUCACCAAGGCAACGAUGCGUAGCCGACCGGAGAGGGUGAUCGGCCACACUGGGACUGAGACACGGCCCAGACUCCAACGGGAGGCAGCAGUAGGGAAUCUUCCGAAAUGGACGAAAGUCUGACGGAGCAACGCCGCGUGAGUGAUGAAGGCUUUCGGGUCGUAAAACUCUGUUGUUAGGGAAGAACAAGUGCUAGUUGAAUAAGCUGGCACCUUGACGGUACCUAACCAGAAAGCCACGGCUAACUACGUGCCAGCCGCCGCCGUAA
rnacentral:rRNA from 1 species